UUAAAUAUAAAGGCAGGAAAGUUCUAAGCUAAGAAUUUUUCUUUCACGCGAAAUUGAAGUUUUCUUUCUUUUGAAAAUUAUAACUAUUGAAUUCCGAGCACAAAUAUCCAUCAAAAAAUAUCUAUAUAAGUCCUUUGAGAUAUUUUACCUUAUUCUAUAAAUAUCUGCAAAAACGCAAAGUCCGUCUAAUCCCUUUAAUAUUGAUCCAAUUAGGGAAGAUGAAACGGUUCAGCGAGGUCAUUAUUGUCAUACUCAUAUUGCUUGGUUUUACCCUAAUUGAAGGAAGAACAAUAUUUCCAGAUUCUAGGUCAAAUGAACUACUGGCUACAAUUCUCAAACUAAAGCCGCCAAGUCCUCCGCCACCGCCGCCUCGACCGCCGAUCCCAAUUCGUCCAUGAAAAUAGCGAAGCUCCACUUCUAGAGUUUCUUUCAUUUUUCAAAUUAAAAUUCUGAAAUAGAAAAGUAUUUUAAAGAAUAAAUUUUGUAAUCAUUGCAUGCCGCAAAUGUUUUUCAUCUAGUCUAGGAAUGGAAAGUGGACGGAUUUUUCGAA